UUGGUGCAGGUAAGAGGCUGUGCAUAUUUUCCUCCACAUUGAGGGAGGAGGCAGAUUUUAUAAAAUACCUUUGGGUCUGCACUCCAAGGGAGGUGGACACCUGAGUGCUGGGGGAAAAACACUUCAGCAGAGCCUUCCC